CCUCGUCCACGGAGAUGCCUCUCCUCUGCCCUCGCCCUCGUCCACGGAGACGCCGCUCCUCCUCGUCGCCGCCUGCGCCGCUGCCUCCGCGCUCGACGCCUUCCACGUCCCCUCCGUCGAGGCCCAAGCCCACGUUGCUCAUUUAAGGAUACAAGGACCCUAUCUGCCUAGCAAGAUCCGAUAUGCUUGGAAUUGUAUAGCUGGAUUUAAUCUAUUUUUCCUUCGACAAAUUCAGUGCAUAGAGAUGCCGUCGUAUGUCGUGUACAAGCAUAAG